rnacentral:rRNA from 1 species
UACGAAGGGGGCUAGCGUUGUUCGGAAUUACUGGGCGUAAAGAGCACGUAGGCGGAUAUUUAAGUCAGGGGUGAAAUCCCAGAGCUCAACUCUGGAACUGCCUUUGAUACUGGGUAUCUUGAGUAUGGAAGAGGUAAGUGGAAUUCCGAGUGUAGAGGUGAAAUUCGUAGAUAUUCGGAGGAACACCAGUGGCGAAGGUGGCUUACUGGUCCAUUACUGACGCUGAGGUGCGAAAGCGUGGGGAGCAAACAGG